GGGAUUGUGGCUCAGUGGUAGAGCAUUUGCUUGUUAUGCAGAAUGUUCUAGGUUCAAUCCCCAGCAUUUCCA